ensembl:lncRNA
CCGGGAAGGGCAGGAAGGGUCUGAGCAGUGGUGACAACAAGGCCGGGAGGCGGCAGGUCGAGGAGAGCCCAGCCCGGGCCGCGCGGCCCCGGGGCGGCCGCCUGGAGGGGGAGAGGCCGGCGGACCCGGCCUGGCGCCCGCGCGGCGUCGCUGCGCCCUCCCUGCGCCCUCCCCUCCGCUCCCCUCGGCUCCCCGCCCCGCGCCGCGCCGGAGCCGGGGGAGGAGCAGGGCUUCUUUCCGGCCGCGGUGGGCGCUCGGCCCCGCCGACCGGACGGCAGUGAAUCCCCGGGCGGGGCCUCGCGGGCGUCCCCGAAGAGAAAGACAGAAGAGUUGCUCUUCCCUCCUCCCAGGUUAACUCAAUGGUCCUAAUUAUUGACUCAUUCACUGACUCCCCGAACAGGGCGAUAAAGGCCCCCUUACACCACUUUCUUGAAAGGUUGGGGGGCGGGGAGGGGGGGGGGGGUGGUAAACUCCACGGUCAUUGCCGGAGACCGUUCCCAAGCGCUGCAGCCCCCGAGCAGCUGCUGAAAUGCCUCAGCCUCCCACGUCUCGGCCUGGCCGGCUGCCGCCGCAGGCGCAUUCCUGGCAGGUCCAGGAGUCAAGAAAAAUCCGCCAGAACAAGCCGUGCCUCGCUGCUCUCGGGUUACCAGCAGGUGGAAGGUGGGGCCGCCUCUGAUCGAAAUGGCUUUGACAGACGGCCGGCCGGAGUUCAAGGAUGUUUCCCGCUCGGCAGGCGGGGCUGCGGGGCUUCCCAGGACCCGGGUCCCUCCCGGCGGAGAGGAGCUCUCCUUUCCACAAACCCGGUGCUCCUUCUCCUCUCCGAGCUCUCGCCCAGCCCGCUGCCCUGCACGGCGAAAGAGAGCGUCCUGCCGGUCCCCCUCCUUUCCUCUGCGCUGAAAAUAGUUCCAAGGGAAGCCAGAGGUCACGGGGAUGGCCCUUCCGGCCUAAAGCUGCCCGAGGCCUUGUGAUCGUGUUCGCAUCUUCUCAAAAACGUACUGUCGGCCAGGACACCGGUGGGCUUUGCUUUCCAUUUUUACCUGGAAACUAUGGAAUUGAGUGUGAAUACUGAAUUCCGAGGGCCACUUGCCUCUGGGAACGAGCUGGGGUAUGGUCUUCACGCCGCAUCCGGUCCCGUGCAGGACAAUGCUGUUUAAAGGCUUGAUGAUACUGACGCUGAUUUACAGACUCAAUAGCAGGAAGAAUGUCACUAAACGACGACGACGGUGAUCAGCAGCUUCCCCCUCAGUCUGCUUGACUCAAAGCGCCAGCUCCCCCUGUGUCUUUAGACAGUUUAGGGACUGGGUUCACAGGAGUUCUAAACUGGGCAAGCCAUGGCUGGCGCAAAAGCAAUUCUUACUCCUCUCGAUUUUUUUUAAAAAAAUCAUCCUUGUGGUUUCUACUGUUCACCUUUCUACUUCCCUGAAACGCAUAAGCUCGUGUGCGCACCAAAGGCCUCUGAGCGCCCGCGGCUGCUGUUCACGCCUGCGGUUCCUGCUGGGCCCCUGCGCCUCUCUGUCCGCGGCUGCCUCCUGGGCUCUGCUCGGGAGGGCUGCACACCCCAGCACCCCCGCAAACGCGGCGUGGGAGUGGGGGAGGCUCCCCGGAGGCUUGUUCCACACCGUUUCCCGCGGACCCCGGUAGGAUUAGCCCAGCCCGCAGCGGCAUCCCGGGUCACGGGCGCACGAGGAUCAGCUUGCCUCCCUUCCCUGUUCCAUUUCCUGCUAAGAUUACUGCCAGGACACGUCACGAGCCUCGAGUCUUCGUCACAGUGGGCUCCCGGGGGGAUGCACACUGAGACAGCGAGCCCAGCCGCCGGCAGGCAGGAGAAGCUGAGCGGGGUGGAACCGAGAAGGGCCCCAGAGCCACGAACACCUGCACAGCCUCGCCUGACCCGCGCUCUGCCUCUGGCUCCCGCGUCCCCCUGGCCUCCCUCCCCUCUGCUUCUGGAAGAAGCGUCUCAGCACCAUCUUCUUGUGCCUGGGGGUGUGCCUCUCCGACUCUCCCCACUGCCUACCCAAACCAGCCUCCUCACCUUCUCUGGAAGGCCGGCCGCUGGGAGCACCCUUCCUGGAACAGCGGCGCAUGUGCAGAAGCACAGCUACAGUGAACAUUCCUGGGCAAGUGUGCUUGUGUGACAAUCUGCAAGAGUCCCUCAGGAAGGAUCUGCGUUUAGAGCCGGAAUGCUGAGACACAGGAUAACUCUGGCUGCUCUAUGUGAAGAGGUUGAAGGGCAACAAAGGAAGAAACAGAGAAACUCAGUGAGGGAGAUUAUAAUAGUCCAGGCCAAGUGCAGAGGAUUUCACGAAGGACAGAGGAUCAGCUGUGAGGACUUGCUAUCACAAGAUUACAACAGUCCUGUUCCUACCCUCUUGAGAUGAAAAGGAAGGGUGAGAUGAGGUGAACUGAGCUGCUGGCUGGGGCACAGAAACAGCAACAUGGAGCAAGAGGAAAGAUGCUUAGUCAUUAAAUGACGAGCACUUACCUAGACAACACAAUAUCUAGAUUUGGGACCUGGCAGGAAACAGACGGCACCCUCAAAGGGUAAACUGAAGACAGUCUGAUGAAGAGACUAUUUACAGAGAUGUGGGCAGGCUUAAGGGAACAAGUCAGAGAUAAAGUACCCAAGGACUUGCAACAGGAAGAAAUCAUUACCAUUCCUAGGCCUAAAGGGACAAAGGGAAGAAGCAGUUUGUGGAACUUGCCAAGAUCUACAGCCAUGGACAGGCUUGUCUGACUGGAGCCAUGGCCUUAGGUAGAGGAAUGAAGCUACUGCCAAAAGCCACAGACAGGCAGGAGGGAGUGCAGGGAAAGGUGAAAUAAAUAUCCUGACCUCUCUCUCUUUCCUUUCUCUGAUCAUUUGCCAAUGCCUCCAAAUUGGCUGAAACCAAACAGACACCAGGGCAAAGAAG